rnacentral:rRNA from 1 species
GACGAACCGUGCGAACGUUGUUCGGAAUCACUGGGCUUAAAGGGCGCGUAGGUGGUCUGUCAAGUCGGGGGUGAAAUCUUUCGGCUCAACCGGAAAACUGCCUUCGAUACUGACAGGCUCGAGCGAGGUAGGGGUUGCGGGAACUACCAGUGGAGCGGUGAAAUGCGUUGAUAUUGGUAGGAACGCCGGUGGCGAAAGCGCGCAACUGGACCUCUUCUGACACUGAUGCGCGAAAGCUAGGGGAG